rnacentral:rRNA from 1 species
UAGGGAAUCUUCCACAAUGGACGCAAGUCUGAUGGAGCAACGCCGCGUGAGUGAAGAAGGUCUUCGGAUCGUAAAGCCCUGUUGUUGGUGAAGAAGGAUAGAGGCAGUAACUGGUCUUUAUUUGACGGUAAUCAACCAGAAAGUCACGGCUAACUACGUGCCAGCAGCCGCGGUAAUACGUAGGUGGCAAGCGUUGUCCGGAUUUAUUGGGCGUAAAGCGAGCGCAGGCGGAAUGAUAAGUCUGAUGUGAAAGCCCACGGCUCAACCGUGGAACUGCAUCGGAAACUGUCAUUCUUGAGUGCAGAAGAGGAGAGUGGAACUCCAUGUGUAGCGGUGGAAUGCGUAGAUAUAUGGAAGAACACCAGUGGCGAAGGCGGCUCUCUGGUCUGCAACUGACGCUGAGGCUCGAAAGCAUGGGGUAGCGAACAGGAUUAGAUACCCUGGUAGUCCAUGCCGUAAACGAUGAGCGCUAGGUGUUGGGGACUUUCCGGUCCUCAGUGCCGCAGCAAACGCAUUAAGCGCUCCGCCUGGGGAGUACGACCGCAAGGUUGAAAC